UACGGAGGGAGCGAGCGUUGUUCGGAAUUACUGGGCGUAGAGCGCGCGUAGGCGGCUUUGUAAGUUAGAGGUGAAAGCCCGGGGCUCAACCCCGGAAUUGCCUUUAAGACUGCAUCGCUUGAAUCCGGGAGAGGUGAGUGGAAUUCCGAGUGUAGAGGUGAAAUUCGUAGAUAUUCGGAAGAACACCAGUGGCGAAGGCGGCUCACUGGACCGGCAUUGACGCUGAGGUGCGAAAGCGUGGGGAGCAAACAGG
rnacentral:rRNA from 1 species